CUACGGCCGUACCAUGCUGAAUAUACCGGUUCUCGUUAGAUCACCGAAGUCAAGCAUCAUUGGGCGCGAUCAGUACUUGGGUGGGUGACCACCUGGGAAUACCGCGUGCCGUU